GGAGAGGGCUAGCGUUAUUCGGAAUUAUUGGGCGUAAAGGGUGCGUAGGCGGCUUUUUAAGUCAGGGGUGAAAGACGGCAGCUCAACUGUCGCAUUGCCCUUGAUACUGAAGUGCUUGAAUGCGGUUGAAGACGGCGGANUGAGACAAGUAGCGGUGAAAUGCAUAGAUAUGUCUCAGAACACCGAUUGCGAAGGCAGCUGUCUGAGCCGUUAUUGACGCUGAUGCACGAAAGCGUGGGGAUCGAACAGGAUUAGAUACCCUGGUAGUCCACGCCCUAAACGAUGAUAGCUCGAUGUUUGCAAUAUACCUUAAGCGUCCAAGCUAAAGCGUUAAGUUAUCCACCUGGGGAGUACGCCCGCAAGGNUGAAACUCAAAGGAAUUGACGGGGGCCCGCACAAGCGGAGGAGCAUGUGGUUUAAUUCGAUGAUACGCGAGGAACCUUACCCNGCCUUGAAAGUUACUGAAUCAUCCUNAGACGGAUGCGUCCUUCNNNACNNGAAACUANGUGC
rnacentral:rRNA from 1 species